rnacentral:rRNA from 1 species
GGGCCCGCACAAGCGGUGGAGUAUGUGGUUUAAUUCGAUGCAACGCGAAGAACCUUACCAGGGUUUGACAUCCUGCGAAUCUCUUGGAAACGAGAGAGUGCCUUCGGGAACGCAGUGACAGGUGGUGCAUGGCUGUCGUCAGCUCGUGUCGUGAGAUGUUGGGUUAAGUCCCGCAACGAGCGCAACCCACGUCUUUAGUUGCCAGCAUUUAGUUGGGCACUCUAGAGAGACUGCCGGUGAUAAACCGGAGAAGGUGUGGAUGACGUCAAGUCAUCAUGCCCCUUACAUCUGGGCUACACACGUACUACAAUGCUACGGACAAAGGGCUGCACGCAUGCUACAAUGGCAAGUACAACGAGUCGCAAUAC